CAAGUUUGACCUAUUUUGCUACAGAAUACGACAAAAAGACCGAUAACAACAGAUGUGUAACGUUAUAUUCUCUGUAAAAACCAAUGGGAAACGCUAAGCUAACUCAAAAGCUGUAGUCCUAAAACUACUGAAAUCAGUUAACUGUCAUUUCUGGUGAUAAUCCAAAGUCUAUUUUUAAAAUUCCUAAAGGCUUUUUGUCGAGGGAACUCGGGCAAUGCUAAUUUCCAGGAGUUUCAGUGGAUGAAUACAAGAAUAAAAACAAUGGGUACUUACAAGUCAAAACAUUUAAAAAAGGAGGAAAAUGGUACCACAAAAGACACAGUGGCUAAAAAUGACUUUAACCAUGGCGAUGCAAGUGAUUUAACUGGAAACCUCAAUAAAACUGGCAACACUAGUCAAGGACUAGGCUCUGCUCCACGUCUCAGUCACCAAAUGCAACCUGACGGUGGCAAUGAGGAACUGCUCACAAGGAUUCACCAAGCUCCUAGUAAAGUGCUAGUAAAGAUGCCAGGAGAUGAUGAUGAAAGCUCCCAGCUAACAGCUGAAACCACUGUCACCACAGUGCAAGAGGGUUCACAGGAGCAAGACUGCACUGCCAUGGAAGAAAACACAACCAAGAUACACAAUAAGGCAUAUCAUACACCUCAACAUAACAAAGUUGACAAUGACACCAAUGGGAACACGUCAUCUGGCAUACAAACAGUCAGUAUGAAACCAGCAUUAGACAAAGGGAGGCCUUCAGCUGACCCAAACAAUGCUGCCAAUAACCCAACAGUAGCAUCUGCAGAUUCAAGUGUCAAGUCAAAACUCCAGCACAAACUUAAUGUUACUUUAAUUCUACAUACUGCCGUUAAGCCUAAGGAAAAGAGCAAACUCAAAGGAAUGGAACAAAACCAUCCUAAUAAGAACGCAGGAAACAUCACUGAGAAAGAGGAUAAGAAUGGAAAGAAUGGCCAGGAUGAAAAACAAGAGCCAAACAUCCCCCCUGCAGUUCCUCCGGAACACACUGAGGGACGUUGGCACCCAUUUACAGUGAACCAGUCCUGUUCCGUCAAGGUGCUCUGUAAACACAACCCAGGGAAAGAUUUACCACCAAACAUCCAAAAGUGGUCUGACAAAUGUCAAAAAUGAAUGUCUGGGCCUCUUCUGGACAACCGAAGAUUUGAAGCUUUGUUUGCUUCGAGAGAGAAGCAAAGGAGGGAGGAGAUUCUCACCAAUGAGAGAAGACAUUAAAAUACAUCUUACAUUAAUGAUAUGCAUUUAAAAAAAUAGUCAAUUUCCGGUUAAUUACUUUCUUCCAUGAAAAGUUAGGUUAAGUAAGUUAGUUAAAGUAUAAAAUAGAUGACAACACAGCCAUUCAAAAAGUUUUUUUUCUGAAGCAUUUAUUGCAGACAAAUAUUUGCAUUGUAAGAUCAACUGGAUUACAAACCAUCUAGGGAGGAAGAGGCAUUACCAUUUAGAAAACACUCAAACUUCAAUGGCAAUUCUCUCUGUUGCUAGGAUACAAGGCAAGGGCAAUACAUUUCUGUGGGCUCUACUAAGGAGAAAAUGAACUUUGUGUACAAAAAGGGUUUGCUUGAAUUUGGGUACAAAUGUUGAGUUCUGUUGAUAGUUUUGUGUGGACACUGAAAGGCAAAGCCACAGGGUGGUGACAGUAAUUAACUUUCUUAUACCCGGAAAAACAGCAGAGACCCAGGGGUAUCGUAUUCAGUAAUUGGACUUGAUGUUCUUGUUUUUUUCAAUCACCAGCUGGGAAUGCCAUAAAAUUGUAAUGUUUGACAAAUUACAUCUUGUAUAAAAUAACAUUUAAACCCUUGAAUGUCUUCAAUAAACAGGUAGCUGAGUAGCAACA